rnacentral:lncRNA from 1 species
CUCAGGUGAUCCUCCCUUCUCAGCCUCCCAAAGUGUUGGGAUUACAGGCGUGAGCCACCAUGCUCAGCCUGCAUUUGCUAUUUUGAUAUCUAUUACCAAAUUUUUCUUUGGAAAUGUGCCAGUUUACACUCCCACAAAUACUUUUGUCAGCAUUAGUUAGGUAUUACAUGUUUUUAAAUCCUCAUUAAUUCAGCAAACAAUUUUAUUUUAAUUGCCAUAUAGCUUGCUAUGUGUAUGUCUCUUGAAGAAUUACCUGUUCUUUUUAUUGAGGUCUUUAUUUUUUAUUGACUUGUAACUGUUCAUUGCAUCUUAAAAAUAGUAGCACUUUGUUGUGUGCUUACUGUUGUUUUCCCUCAGUUUUUCUUGGUUUUGAACUAGUUUUUGUUUUGUUUUUGUUUUUUGCCAUAUAGAAGGGUUACAAAGUUAAAUAUUUCCAUGUUUUCCAUUAUAGCUUCUGGUAGUAACUAGAAUUUACCUAAGCCCAGAAGAAUAAAAAGUCACCUGUGUUUUAUUCUGGCUUUAUACUGUUUUCAUUUGUUCUGUUAUAAUUUUUGUAUAAGAAAUCCAGGAAUCUAUUUUGCUUCUGAAGUGGCUGUCCAAUCAGGAUUUACCUUUUACCACUUGGUUGGAGAGGUGGGGGAAGAAGAGACUGGAGGAAAUAGAAGCUGAAGACAGGACUAGAUGUGUCUCCCUCCCCAGCCUCCUUUCUCUGCAGAGGUGGAGGAAUCACGGAAGCUAUCGUGGCUUUAGGUGUUGACUUUUGUCAAUGUUUGCUGAAGCCAGGAGUGAAAUUGAGACAAUAUUCCGAUUCUUGGAACCUGAGUUAGCGUUAAAGGGGAUGACAAACAGGCUGUUGUUAGGAGGUAGUUCCAUGUAAUAGGAAGAGUUUCCACCUCCCUCAGAGGCUGCCUUUCUCGUUUCUCCAAAUGAUUUCGCGGUUGGCCUAAGUUUCCUUUACUUCUCCCUACGAUGGUGUAACAUUAGCUUGAAUGCUGACGCUAUGUGGUGGUGAGCGGCAGUGGGUGUAUCUUGCCCAUAAACCCUUGGAGGACAGUGGAGGACAGGGACUGACCAACUCACCCAAGGGUCCUCUGCAUGCACAUGGUCCCUGCACAUGGCACAUAGUUGGUGCUCAGAAGGCCUUUGCUGGAACAAAGGAAAACACAAGCACCCACAGCAGUGAUGGCUGAUUUUGUCGGGUCUGCAAUGGAGAUUAGUCACCACUAGGUGUCAUGCAUCUGUUGAGUGUCUACGGCACAACACACACGUUCUGGUGCUGGAGAUCCUGCCCUGGCUGAGCUUCUGGACCUGGUGGGGAGAAAUCCACAAUGAGUACUGAGACGACCGGCAAAAGCCCGGUGAAGGCACCUAGGAGUAGGGCCUGCUUACCCUGGAGGAGUCGGGAGCAGCUUCCACAGCAAGGAGGCUUCUAAGAUUUUUUGUUCUUUGUCAGCAUGAGUACCUGGGAUCUUACAUGUAGCCCCUGCAUCAUUUCAGAAAUGAUCUCCAGUGCCCAGGCUCUGAUGCCCAACAGACCUGAAGUUACAUCCCAACCUGAACAGGCGGCUUUUGCUCUCCAGGCCUUCAUUGCCCCACAGUGGGAACAAUAAUAAUAUGCACCUUCUAGGUACCCAAAAGCACAAGAGACAGUGAACGGAAAGUGCUUGGAAGCCCCGUGCCCAGGUGGUGCUGGCCCCAGCUGAACUGCGGGGAUAGAUGUUGAGUGUCCAGGUUCUAGCAUCAUAGAACAGAAUCCGGCCUGUUGGGAAAUCCUGCCUACAAGUAUACCUCCAUUAAUUAGUGUCUUCUGUGAACAUUUUUAUUAAAAAAAGAAGAAAAGCUUCUCAA